rnacentral:lncRNA from 1 species
AGUUUGCUGAAGAGAUGGAGCUGGAUGCUGUGGGAGGCCUGACUCAGGCAGGGUGGGGAGUGGGGGUCUUGGGACCUGCAUCUGGUUUGGAGAGGGGAGUUGUCCUGGGGUUAAGAGCAUGGAUUGUGGAAGCGACUCUGGCUGAAAUCCUGUCUCUUCCGUGUCCUGGAUGCACAGCCUCAGCUAAGUCUCCCUCCUUAACCUCUCAGAGCCUUGUUUCCUCUUUGACUGACUGGGGCCCUCACUAGUGCCCUCCCCUUGGGUGUCAUGGGGGUCCUGCGUGCUGUCCCGUGUGGAGCUCUCUGGACAGCAUGGAGCACAGGGUGUCCGCAGCACCUCCCUAAGGGGUUGUAAGAUUGGAGCCGUGAGCGAGUGCCUCGACUUCCCUUCUCAUUCCAGCACUCCAUGACUCUGAGCAGAGAAAGCUCAGUGGAAGGUGUGGGAGCUGAGCUUGAUGAGUGGGCGCAGGGAGGCAGGGGCGCAGGGAGGCAGGGAGGCUGAGGAAGGCCCUUGGACAGAUGAAGGCUGGUGAGGCCAAGGUGGGAGCCUUUGGGGAUGGAGUGAGGUCGAACUGAGGUGAAAGGGCACUCAGAGGCGCUCCCAGCAGUUUCUGCAUAAAGUAGGAUGAUUUGAGUGCCUGGGCUGCUUGGCUGGGGUCAUCAGGAGCAACUCUUCUGCACGGCCUCCACGUCUGUCUACGCUGUGUCACUUGCGGAAGCGUGGGCUAUGGCUUCUGGCCAUAGAUGACGGAAGAGAGCAUGGUAGUCUUGCCCGGCUCUCCCUGGAUAGUGGGCGAGUGCCCAAGACAUCCUCAGAACGCGUGGGCUGGCCCUACCUCAGAGGGGACUGGUUCUCAUUACCAGGUAAUUUUGUAAAGGCGAACGGGCAUGGAGAUUCAAUGGGCUGCACUCAACUCUGGGGAAACUGCUCCCUGAUUUCCCAGUGUUGUUAGGGAGGGAGGGAACAAAAGUUCAAGGAGGACGGCAACUUCAACCUUGCUGAGGAGCCAUUUAGCAGCAGGGCCUGUUUCUGACUUCCAGCUCUGAGGUGGGUCUAUCAAAGUCAUUCCAAAACCCUCCAUUCUUAGAACCUAUCUCCUUUGCAGCCCCUCCCUGUGGCCAGCAGAGAAACUCUGUGGCUUUGCUGGAGAAGGCUUGUCUCUUUCCCGAGCUUGCAGCGUCUGUUUGCCCUCCACCACCGCCUGGGAGGGUGCGCUUAGCAACACUGCACCUAUUUCCGUCCGAGUAGGCACGGAUGCAGAUCAGUCAUUUUUAAGCUCCGUUAGUCACUUCUCUUCCUGCGCCCACUCAGCUCCACACUCCCACGGGCACAAACUCCUUUAUAGUGAGAUGUUCUUUCUUUAAAUUUCACUUCAAUUAAUCCCCAAGAGUUCAAGAUGUUUAGAAGUGCGGGAGGUGUAUAGUUUUUCCAGAAAAUGCUAAAAUUCAAAAAUUAUCACCAUUCACUAAUUUGCUUUUUAAUAGUAGGUGUGCUUGCACCAAAAUACUCAAUGCAGCUUAGAAUGCAGAUAGACCAAAGGGCUGGCACACCCUCCUGCCAGCCAUGUACUCCACGGGUUCUGGUGGGAGAAGUAAGAGAACCUUGAGGCGUGGCGUCUCUUACUUCCUCUACCAAUUGACAAAUCUGCUGAGGCCCUGGCUUGGCAAAAGCACCUGGAAUAUGAGAAAUGUGAGAAUAAGACGCAGCCUCAUGCCAACGCCUGCCCGAGUUGUUCUUCUGUGUUAGGAGCCCAGCAAUGGUGCUGGUGCAUCUGUGGGUUCCACCUCCUGGAACUGCCUUGAGUUUUGGCUUUAAAAGUCCAGAGAACUUAAGCUCCUUGCUCUGAAAGGCCCUAAAUGGAAGGGUUGGGCCGCACUACCUCCUUCAUUCCCAAUCUUGUUUAUGAAUGAAAAUGCCAAAAAAGAUUUCCUUUAUGUUAGAAUUUAAGAGGAUAGGCCAGGUGCGGUGGCUCAUGCCUGUAAUCCCAGCACUUUAGGAGGCCAAGGCAGGCAGAUCACAAGGUCAGGAGUUCAAGGCCAUCCUGGCCAACAUGGUGAAACCUCGUCUCUACUAAAAAUACAAAAAUUAGCAGGGAUGGUGGUGGGCGCCUGUCAUCCCAGCUACUCAGGAGGCUGAGACAGGAGAACCGCUUGAACCUGGGAGGUAGAGGUUGCAGUGAGUCGAGAUGGCACCACUGCACUCCAUCCAGCAAGACUCUGUCUCAAAACAAAAAAAAAAAA